rnacentral:rRNA from 1 species
UACGAAGGGGGCUAGCGUUGCUCGGAAUCACUGGGCGUAAAGGGUGCGUAGGCGGGUCUCUAAGUCAGGGGUGAAAUCCUGGAGCUCAACUCCAGAACUGCCUUUGAUACUGGCGAUCUUGAGUCCGGAAGAGGUGAGUGGAACUCCUAGUGUAGAGGUGGAAUUCGUAGAUAUUAGGAAGAACACCAGUGGCGAAGGCGGCUCACUGGUCCGGUACUGACGCUGAGGUGCGAAAGCGUGGGGAGCAAACAGG